UACGGAGGGUGCAAGCGUUAUCCGGAUUCACUGGGUUUAAAGGGUGCGUAGGUGGGCAGGUAAGUCAGUGGUGAAAUCUCCGAGCUUAACUCGGAAACUGCCGUUGAUACUAUUUGUCUUGAAUAUUGUGGAGGUAAGCGGAAUAUGUCAUGUAGCGGUGAAAUGCUUAGAUAUGACAUAGAACACCAAUUGCGAGGGCAGCUUACUACACAACGAUUGACGCUGAGGCACGAAAGCGUGGGGAUCAAACAGG
rnacentral:rRNA from 1 species